GGAAGUUCGUAACAAGGUUUCCGCAGGUGAACCUGCGGAAGGAUCAUUAUCGUACAAAAUGUGAGGGGCAUGCGAGGGCUGUCGCUGACCCAAAAGUCGUGCACGCCCGAGUGUGUCCUCUUGCAUAAUAAUCCAUCUCACCCUUUGUGCAUCACCGCGUGGGCACCCUUCGGGAUCAUCUCGGAGGGGGGCUCGCGUUUUCACACAAACCCCCCUUUUAAAAGUGUAGUAUGACCACAUUUAUGCAAUCAAUACAACUUUCAACAACGGAUCUCUUGGCUCUC
rnacentral:misc_RNA from 1 species